GAUGAAGAACGUAGCGAAAUGCGAUAAGUAAUGUGAAUUGCAGAAUUCAGUGAGUCAUCGAAUCUUUGAACGCACAUUGCGCCCGCCAGCACUCUGGCGGGCAUGCCUGUUCGAGCGUCAUUUCAACCAUCAAGCCCCCAGGGGCUUGUGCUGGGGCCCUGCGGCUGCCCGCAGGCCCUGAAAACCAGUGGCGGGCUCGCUAGUCACACCGAGCGCAGUAGCACAUCUCGCUCAGGGCGUGCGGCGGGCUCCUGCCGUGAAACCCCCCACUGUAACCCCAAAGGUUGACCUCGGAUCAGGUAGGAAUACCCGCUGAACUUAAGCAUAUCAAUAAGCGGAGGA
rnacentral:misc_RNA from 1 species